rnacentral:rRNA from 1 species
GCUCUUGGCAAUGGAUAUCUCGACUCUCGCAUCGAUGAAGAACAAGCGAAAUGCGAUACCUGGUGUGAAUUGCAGAAUCCUGUGAUCCAUCGAGUCUUUGAAUGCAAGUUGUGCCCCAACCCAUUCGGCUGAGGGCAUGUCUGCCUGGGUGUCACGCAUCUUCGUGCCCAUCCAACCAUGAGCUCUCGAGCUUCGGUUGGACCGCAGGGGAAAAUUGGCCUCCUGUGCUCUCACAGCCAGCGGUUGGCCUAAAUUUGAGACCUCGAUGAUAUCAUUGUCACGACGAUCGGUGGUAAUGUUGUAAGCAACCUUGUACAGAGUCGUGCACGUUCGUCGAUCAAGACCUUUGGAGCCUUUUGGCCUCGCAAGGUUGGUGCUCGCAUCGUGACCCCAAGUCAGGCGGGAUUACCCAGUGAGUUUAAGCAUAUCAAUAAGAGGAGGAAAAGAAACUUACUAGGAUUCCCCUAGUAGUGGCGAGAGAACCGGAAAAAGCCCAGCUUGAGAAUCGGUCGCCAUCGGAGUCCGAAUUGUAGUCUGGAGAAGCGUCUUCAGUGACGGACCAGGUCUAAGUCCCCUGGAAAGGGGCGCCGGAGAGGGUGAGAGCCCCGUCGUGCCUGGACCCUAUCGCACCACAAGGCACUCUCUACAAGUCGGGUUAUUUGGGAAUACAGCCCUAAUCGGGCGGUAAAUUCCGUCCAAGGCUAAAUAUGGGCGAGAGACCGAUAGCGAACAUGUACCGCGAGGGAAAGAUGAAAAGGACUUUGAAAAGAGAGUCAAAGAGUGCUUGAAAUUGUCGGGAGGGAAGCGGAUGGGGGCUAAUGAUGGGCCUCGAUCGGAUAUGGAACAGCGAGAAUAGGGCCUCAAAGAGAGUCCAUUCAGAAGUCGUAAUGAGGACGUUACGAGAAUGGGUGGGGGAAAAUGUCACAGGCCACAGUUCAAAGCCUGUGACCAUCGCACCAAAUGCAUCCAAUAGAGGUCUAUUGCUCAGAUGGGGAUCAUUUGGCCCACGAGAACUAGCCCGAUUCAAGGAGCUAUUGGAGAAGCCUGUCAGAUUGAAGCCUUGUUGGCCUGAUAAUGAAGACAUGGCAACUUAGGCUAAUAUGGUAACUAAUCUUAGAAGAUAGAGGGAAUCAUAUCUUGUAAAGAUUAGAUUAGAUUUGAUAUGGCAUAUCUUGUAAAUCCCUAAAAUAAAAGGAUAUGGCUAAUCUCGUUCGUUGAUGUAAAUGUAUCUUGACCGUCAGUUUUGGGAGAGCUCAACUAUAAAUAAAGAGCCUCCCCUCAGUUGUACUCACUUCAUUCAUUGUUUCAUUAUUCUUUGUGAAUAAGAGAAUUGAGAGCAUUUACUCAAACACAUUGCGAGCGCUCUUUCUGUUGUUCUUUUGUUUAGCUUCUUUUAGGAUAAAUCUCUUCCGCUCUUUAAUUUGGUGCCUUGGAGGAGUUCUUAAGGAAUCCUCACUUGAAUUAAGGCUGACUUAGGGGAGUUUGGAUGAACGAAUCAUCUAAGGCCGCACGGAUCACAAGAGAAAACUCUAGCCCCGUGACACUAGUAGCUGGUUCCCUCCGAAGUCUUCCUCAGGAUAGCUGGAGCCCUUAGCGAGUUGUAUCGGGUAAAAUCAAUGAUUAGAGGCAUCGGGGGCGCAACGCCCUCGACCUAUUCUCAAACUUUAAAUAGGUAAGACGGUGCGGCUGCUUUGUUGAGCCGCGCUACGAAAUCGAGAGCUCCAAGUGGGCCAUUUUUGGUAAGCGAAACUGGCGAUGCGGGAUGAACCAGAAGCCGGGUUAGGGUGCCCAACUAUGCGCUAACCUAGAAUCCACAAAGUGUGUUGGUCGAUUAACACAGCAGGACGGUGGUCAUGGAAGUCGAAAUCGCUAAGGAGUGUGUAAAAGCUCAUCUGCAGAAUCAACUAGCCCAGAAAAUGGAUGGCGCUUAAACGCGUGACCUAUACCCAGCCAUUGGGGCAAGGGCCAGGCCCCGAUGAUUAGGAGGGCGUGACGAUCAGCGUAAAACCUGAGGUCCGAGCUCGGGCGAAGCGGCCGUCAGUGCAAAUAUUCAAUUGAGAACUUUGAAGGCCGAAAAGAGGAAAGGUUCCAUGUAAACGGCACUUGCACAUGGGUUAGUCGAUCCUAAGAGACGGGGGAAGCCCGUUCGAUAGUGCGUCUAGCACGAGCUUUGAAAGGGAAUCGGGUUAAAAUUCUAGAACUGGGACGCGACGGCUGACAACAACGUUAGGGAGUCCGUAGACGUCGGCGGGGGCCUCGGGAAGAGUUAUCUUUUCUGUUUAACGGCCUGCCCACCCUGGAAACGACUCAGCCGGAGGUAGGGCCCAGCGGACAGAAUAGCACCGAACGUCACGUGGUGUCAGGUGCGCCCCCAGCGGCCCUUGAAAAUCUGGAGGACUGAGUGCCGUCCGCUCUCAUUCUUACUCAUAACCGCAUCAGGUCUCCAAGGUGAACAACCUCUAGUCAACGGAACAAUGUAGGCAAGAGAAGUCGGCAAAAUGGAUCCGUAACCUCGGGAAAAGGAUUGGCUCUAAAGGCUGGGCACGUGAGUCCCAGUCCGGCCGGGUAGUGCACCGUGCCGGCCGGGGGACGGACUGGGAACAGCUCCCACGGGGGCCUUCACCGGGCGACGGACAGUCGACUUAGAACUGGUACGGAAAAGAGGAAUCUGAUUGUUUAAUUAAAACAAAACAUUGCGAUGGUCCCUACGGAUGCUCACGCAAUGUGAUUUCUGCCCAGUGCUCUGAAUGUCAAAGUGCAGAAAUUCAACCAAGCGCGGGUAAAUGGCGGGAGUAACUAUGACUCUCUUAAGGUAUCCAAAUGCGCCGUCAUCUAAUUAGUGAAGCGCAUGAAUGGAUUAAUGAGAUUCCCACUAUCCCUGUCUACUAUCCAGCGAAACCACAACCAAGGGAACGGGCUUGGCAGAAUCAGCGGGGAAAGAAGACCCUAUUGAGCUUGACUCUAGUCUGACUUUGUGAAAUAACUUGAGAGGUGUCGGAUAAGUGGGAGCUCUCGGGCGAAACUGAAAUACCACUACUGUUAACGUUAUUUUACUUAUUCCGUGAAUCGAAGGUGGGGCACGACCCCUCUUGUUGGACCGAAGCCAGUCGAUCCGGGUGGAACACAUUGUCAGGUGGGGAGUUUGGCAUGGGAUCUUGCCACCAUAGUAGAUUCAUUUUUAUCCAUUGCAUUCAAGGGAGGUCAUUUGGCCCAACGGGACUGGUCCAUUGCUUGGAGGAAUUAAAAGCCCAACUCCGGAGCUUGGAAAAUAAGGAAAGUGAUCUUCUAAAGAUAUGUUUGGCAAAUAUGGAAGGUGAUCUUCGAAGAUAUGUGAUCCUAGAUAUUAAAUGAAAUCUUUAGAAGAUACGAUUAGGUAAUCUUAGAUAUUUGAUAUUGUGAUAGCUUUUAAUUAUAGCCAUUGGUGUAUUUUGAUUUAGACCGUUGAUUUUGGAGAGCCUCAGCUAUAAAUAGAGGACUCUCUACUCAUUGUAAAUUGUUCAGUUGUUAAUAGAAUUCUGAGAGUAUUCA